rnacentral:rRNA from 1 species
UAAUGAUCUUUAUUUAAUUUACUCUUAUAACUGUUUUGUGAAAAGUAAGGCUGUCUAAGAUUAGUAUAUGUAAAUUUUAGUACCUUUUGCAUAAGGGUUUUUCAAGAUAAAUUUAAAUAUUUAAAUUUCCCGAAUAAAAAAGAGUUAUUCCUUUGAGUUAAAAAAUCGUGGUAGAGAUUCAUAUAAACUAAGGAAUAGCGGCUAGAUACUAUUCGCGUUUUUAGAUAUCUGGUUAGCUUAAAAAGAUGUGUAAGCAUUGCUUUUAAGUAAUUAAAAGGUAAGGUUUUUUGGGUUAAGCUGAAAAACAAAGAAAUUGACUUUAUUAAAAAAAUUGGUUUUUAUAGGCUUUAAACUGGCUAUUUAACAUUAAUGUAUUUUAACUAAAACCAGACAACGAAGACGAUAAAUUGGUUUUGUCAUAUGUGUCUAAUAAGCUUAUGGUUAUAAAACUAAUAAUUAUGAUAAAAACGAGUAAAAAUUUUUUUCAACAGGUGUAAUUUCUUAAAUUUUACCUUAAUAACUUAAGUGCUUGGUAAAAGUUUUUAAAUGAACUCGGCAAAUAAGACUUCUCGACUGUUUAACAAAAACAUUUCCUUCUGGUGUAAAUAAAAGGUAGUCCCUGCCCAGUGCAGCUAGAGUAAUGUCUGCUGUGAACGGCGGCGUUAACGUGAGCGUCCUAAGGUAGCGCGAUAAUUUGCCUUUCAAUUAAAGGAUGGUAUGAAAGGGUUAACGAGGAAGGUGCUGUGUCUAAAAACUUAGUUUAAACUAACUCAAAGGUGAAGAGGCCUUUAUGAAGAAGAAGGACGACAAGACCCUAUGAAGCUUAAUCUUAGUAGGGUCUGAAAGACCCUUGUACGAUUUUGAUGGGAGAUCAGUAAAAAUAAGUCUUUUACUAUUAUUUUAGUCAUACUAGUGUUUCCUAAUUUUAUAUGUGUGACUAGCUACUCUAGGGAUAACAGCGCAAUUUCUCCCGAAAGAUGGUAUUGGAGGGGAAGAUUGCGACCUCGAUGUUGGCUUUAGAUGUCCAAGAGGCGUAGAAGCUUCUAAUGGUGGGUCUGUUCGCCCUUUAAAAUCUAACAUGAGCUGAGUUCAGAACGGCGUGAGCUAGUUCAGUUUCUAUCCUCUUUUUAAAAUCAGUUAAUUUUGUACGAAAGGACUUUUUUGCUAAAGUGAUGCUUUGCGGUUAGACUCGUUAUUUCACAGAGAAUAUUAUAUGGUAGGCUGACUGACCUAUAAAAAGGGGAUU